rnacentral:rRNA from 1 species
UACGAAGGGUGCAAGCGUUACUCGGAAUUACUGGGCGUAAAGCGUGCGUAGGCGGUUUGUUAAGUCUGUUGUGAAAGCCCCGGGCUCAACCUGGGAAUGGCAAUGGAUACUGGCAAGCUAGAGUGCGGUAGAGGGUAGUGGAAUUCCCGGUGUAGCGGUGAAAUGCGUAGAGAUCGUAAGGAAGACCAGUGGCGAAGGCGAGUCUCUGGACAGCAACUGACGCUGAGGCACGAAGGCCAGGGGAGCAAACGGG